GGGGGAAGGCCUUGUAUGCCCUUUGGUCUGAGGCACUGGGCCCUUGACGGUGCUCAGGCCAUUCAUACAGGGGUGCUUUCCUUCCUCACAACCAUCAAAUCAAAUUUUAUCAAGUGUGUGAUUCCCAGUCUCUAUCUGCUUUAUCACCGAAAGAGACAAAGUCUUGUUAUGUACCUCAGUCUGGCCUGGAAUAUUCUGUUACUGACAUUGACCUUAAACGUGAGGUCUCGCUGCCAUAGCUCCCAGACUGCUGGAAU
rnacentral:lncRNA from 1 species